AAAGUAAUAAUAUUGAUAAAGUAAUUGAUAAAUAGUAGUGCUAAAGUCAUACUAAUCAAGUAGUACUAAUAGCCCUAUACUAGUAGUAAUAACAAAGUGGUAUUGCUAUUGAUUCUAUUGGUCUGUCUACCUACCUAUCUCUCUAGAUGGGAGGGCAUAGGAUUUGGCUGAUGAGAUUGGGCUUAGCAGUGGAGAGCAAAGAGCUCAUGCAUGCUUUGAACAGGUAUGCACUCAAACCUGGUAUCGUGUGACUGUUCUGAAUUCCAGAACCAAGGCUAAAAGGUGGAAGUUUUGUUUGACUAUUUGUGUGUCACAUUUUCCUUUUGGUCUAUUGUCUAACAUAUGCUGCUAGAAUUCUUUUUACUCUGACUACCUUUUAGGUGGUUAGAUGACGCUGUUAUUGAUGAGAUCACACCCAAGCUGAUCAGAGAUCCGCCAAGAAUUAUAAAGAAUAAUACAAAUAACACAAUUUAAUGAACAAAGGAUAUAGACAUUAUACAAAAUAUGAAAACAUGAAUAGACAAUAUAUAAUGCCUAAUAUUGGUAAUCAGGGAAAUGCUAUUAAACAUAGCAUAGCAUUGUGUGUGUGGAUGUGUGGAUGUAAAUGGCAGUAAAAGGUAAAAAGGGAAGGUGGUAAAAAGGGAGAUGGUCUAAUAUUUUCAACAUUUUUUAAUUUUUGUUUUGUGUUUUAUUUAUAUAUUUUUGGCAGCA
rnacentral:lncRNA from 1 species